rnacentral:rRNA from 1 species
AGCAGCCGCCGCGGGAAUACAGAGGGUGCGAGCGUUAAUCGGAUUUACUGGGCGUAAAGCGUGCGUAGGCGGCUUCUUAAGUCGGAUGUGAAAUCCCUGAGCUUAACUUAGGAAUUGCAUUCGAUACUGGGAAGCUAGAGUAUGGGAGAGGAUGGUAGAAUUCCAGGUGUAGCGGUGAAAUGCGUAGAGAUCUGGAGGAAUACCGAUGGCGAAGGCAGCCAUCUGGCCUAAUACUGACGCUGAGGUACGAAAGCAUGGGGAGCAAACAGGAUUAGAUACCCCGGUAGUCCCUGUCUCUUAUAU